GAGGAGGUGAGUUUGGAUUAUUCAAAAAGCUACCAGUAUCUCUGUGUAUAUAAGUUGUAUGGAGGAGGAGGGGACUUUACUCUAAGACUCUCUGCAUUAUUCUUAUAUCUUUAGCUCUCUUAGUUUAAGUAUGGUUAACCAUCCAUGUCCACCCAAUGGUGACAAUGAAAAAAAAGAAAUCAUGAAGAAAAGAAAACAGCAGCUACAAACUACAAUUGACAAGCAGAUCGAUCGUGUAAAUGAACUUCAAACGAGUGCCUUCAACCUUGCAAACUACUACUUCGUCUUUCAAGGAAUUAUUUUAGGGGUUAUCGUCAGUGGUACCAGAGCGCUGCGAUGCUCAGAUCGCUGGUUCCUUUUCAGCCUCUCUCUAAUAGCAGCCAUACUCAACUUGGUUUCAUUGCUUGUAAUUGGAGGCAAUUAUAAAAGAAGCGUCAUGCGGAGAAACCGAACCAAGACUGAGCGCAAUAAAUUGGAAAGUGAUCUGGAGAAGCUAGAAACUUCACAUUCAGAUCAUGGGCUCAAAAAUAACAUAUUAUCGUACUGGAGUUCAAUAAAAAUAGAAGCUUCAGGGCAGGUUACUUGUCAAGAUCCUACAACUGUAGAAAUUAAGGAUGAACCGGAACAAAGGCAGGUUGUGCCUGUUGAUAAUUACCAAAAAAAGCUGCAUGAUUUCUACUUUCUACUUUGCAUGGGUCUGUUUAUAUGCUUUUCCGUCGUCGUGAUUGUGGGUUGCUGGACCAUUCCUUGCAAGAAAGCUCUUCAAUGCAUACCUCCCGUAUCCAACACUGAGAACUGCAUCAGGGUAUGUGAAGGUGGCAAGUGUAUGAGCAUGUGCACCGAAUACUAGAGCCUUCACCAGUUCCAGCUUUGAGCUAGCGUUAUCCAAAUAGAUUGGUACAAUAAAGUUUAUGUCGAUUGUGGUGUUUUCUUCUCAUAUAUAUUGGUACCAUUUAUGAUAUAAAGCUUACCAUAUUUUCAUGUACUAAAUAAAGUGUCACAAAUAGUCCCG
rnacentral:lncRNA from 1 species